GUCGGGAUAGCUCAGCC
rnacentral:tRNA from 5 species